rnacentral:misc_RNA from 1 species
ACGAGUUAGGGUCUCAAAGGCCCGACCUCCCAACCCUUUGUUUACUGGACCACUUGUUGCUUCGGCGGGCCCGUCCUCUCGGGGACCGCCGGAGGGCCGUCAAACGCCCUCUGGCCUGCUGCCCGUCGACGCCAAAACUCAAACAAAUUCUUAACUAAACAUGUCAUUGUCUGAGUACUUGAUUGUAAUAAAUCAUAAGCA